rnacentral:rRNA from 1 species
CCUACGGGUGGCAGCAGUGGGGAAUUUUCCGCAAUGGGCGAAAGCCUGACGGAGCAAUACCGCGUGAGGGAAGACGGCUUUUGGGUUGUAAACCUCUUUUAUUGGGGAAGAAGAUCUGACGGUACCCAAUGAAUCAGCAUCGGCUAACUCCGUGCCAGCAGCCGCGGUAAUACGGAGGAUGCAAGCGUUAUCCGGAAUUAUUGGGCGUAAAGCGUCCGCAGGUGGUUGUACAAGUCUGCUGUUAAAGCGUCCAGCUUAACUGGAUACAGGCAGUGGAAACUGUGCGACUAGAGUUUGGGAGGGGUAACGGGAAUUCCCAGUGUAGCGGUGAAAUGCGUAGAUAUUGGGAAGAACACCAGCGGCGAAAGCGCGCUACUGGGCUGUAACUGACACUGAGGGACGAAAGCCAGGGGAGCGAAUGGGAUUAGAUACCCCAGUAGUC